UGCAGUCGAGCGAGAAGGCGUAGCAAUACGUUUGUAAAGCGGCGAACGGGUGAGGAAUACAUGGGUAACCUACCCUCGAGUGGGGAAUAACUAGCCGAAAGGUUAGCUAAUACCGCGUACGCUCUUUGGACUUCGGUUCAGGGAGGAAAGCGAUACCGUGGGUAUCGCGCUCUUGGAUGGGCUCAUGUCCUAUCAGCUUGUUGGUGAGGUAACGGCUCACCAAGGCUUCGGCGGGUAGCUGGUCUGAGAGGACGAUCAGCCACACUGGCACUGCGACACGGGCCAGACUCCUACGGGAGGCAGCAGUAAGGAAUAUUGCGCAAUGGGCGAAAGCCUGACGCAGCGACGCCGCGUGGGGGAUGAAGGUCUUCGGAUUGUAAACCCCUUUCGGGAGGGAAGCUGGAAUGGGGUAACCCAUUUGGACGGUACCUCCAGAAGCAGCCACGGCUAACUUCGUGCCAGCAGCCGCGGUAAUACGAAGGUGGCAAGCGUUGUUCGGAUUUACUGGGCGUACAGGGAGCGUAGGCGGUUCGGUAAGCCCUUUGUGAAAUCUCCAGGCUUAACCUGGAAAAGUCGGAGGGGACUGCCGGGCUAGAGGACGGGAGAGGAGCGCGGAAUUCCCGGUGUAGCGGUGAAAUGCGUAGAGAUCGGGAGGAAGGCCGGUGGCGAAGGCGGCGCUCUGGAACGUUUCUGACGCUGAGGCUCGAAAGCGUGGGGAUCAAACAGGAUUAGAUACCCUGGUAGUCCACGCUGUAAACGAUGGGGACUAGGUGUGGGGGGGUAUUGACCCCUCCCGUGCCGACGCUAACGCAUUAAGUCCCCCGCCUGGGGAUUACGGCCGCAAGGUUGAAACUCAAAUGAAUUGACGGGG
rnacentral:rRNA from 1 species